rnacentral:sRNA from 10 species
AGCCACAUGGUGUUUACAACUAAUUGAUCACAACCAGUUACGGAUUUCUUUGUUCUUUCUCCACUCCAACUGCUUGACUAGCCUUAA